AAGACAGUCUCUUCAAUAAAUGGUGCUGGGAAAACUAUAUGUAGAAGAAUGAAACUCGACCAUUCUCUUACACCAACACAAAGAUAAUCUCAAAAAAUUAUUUUGGUAUAUUUUCCUGCUUGUUCUUCUGGAGAAAUGUUCAAAUCAGUGUUUCAGAUUUUAUAAAAUAAACUGUGGAGACUUUAAUUGUUAUCAUAUGAGCAAAGAAUUUUGUUACUUUAAGAUUAUUUGGCUUUCCAUCCAUAAGAUUUAAUUUCCCAUUAUUCACAGUAUUAUUUUUUUCCUCUCAAAAUUAUUUCUUAUUUAGAGCUAAAUUAUUAUCUAAGCACUUAAUGGUAUUUUUAAUCACAAGAAUACAUAGAUUUUACUGCAUUAUGAAGUAAUUCAUCACCUAAGAAUCAGGAUACAAAUAAUUUUAUUGAAUUUAUCAUUUCCAACACAUCAGCUUUUGCUCUAAGUGCAAAAUUUAAGAUAAAUAGUUCAAGUAUUAUGAUAAUUUUCUCUGUCACUUGAAAAACAACAUCCAAAUUAGUAAAAUCAAUGACAGUUUCUUCAGAGUCAAAAUGUUUCAGAAAGGCAGGGCUCCCAGAUGAGCCUAUCUGGAAGGAGAGAGUCCCUUGGCACAUGGAUACCAUGAAUGUAAACUAAAUUUGGAUUAGUCUACUAUGGCUACGUUUCUAAAAAACUAUCACACGAAGUGUGAUUUUUUAUGCCACUAAACUUCCUUUUCUCCUUUUUCUCUCCUUUCUUAUUGUCUGGGGUUCCUAUGGGCUGACUUUGGCAAAGAGUAAGUCAAGACUGGGGUGUAAACUGGAAAAAUUAUCCCAGAGAAUGUCCUCUGAGAAGUCAUCCCAAUGAUGGCUUUGUUUGCCUCCUUUCUCCCAGAGAUAGAGCACUGCCCCCAGGUACUAAUGGGAACCUGGGGUUUGAAGACCUCCCUGGAUCUACAGCAUCUCUCUGAAAGCUUUUACAGAAUAUACUAUGGAGACCUCAAUUAUUGUCUUAUGUGUAAUUUUGGAGUAAGGAGAUGGCAGAGAAUUUGGAAGACAAGCAUUCCCAAGACUAAGACUUUCCAUGUUAUUUCCAAAACAAGCUAUCACAACUGUUAUACCUCCAAACACAUAAGUUUUAUAAACCCUGGACUCUUGGGAAUCCACUAAUAAAAUACUUGAUAUUCUGCAAAGCCA